GGGGAAUAUUGCACAAUGGGCGCAAGCCUGAUGCAGCGACGCCGCGUGCGGGAUGACGGCCUUCGGGUUGUAAACCGCUUUUGAUCGGGAGCAAGCCUUCGGGUGAGUGUACCUUUCGAAUAAGCACCGGCUAACUACGUGCCAGCAGCCGCGGUAAUACGUAGGGUGCAAGCGUUAUCCGGAAUUAUUGGGUUUAAAGGGUGCGUAGGCGGGCUGUUAAGUCAGCGGUCAAAUGUCGGGGCUCAACCCCGGCCUGCCGUUGAAACUGGCGGUCUUGAGUGAGCGAGAAGUAUGCGGAAUGCGUGGUGUAGCGGUGAAAUGCAUAGAUAUCACGCAGAACUCCGAUUGCGAAGGCAGCAUACCGGCGCUCAACUGACGCUGAGGCACGAAAGCGUGGGGAUCGAACAGGAUUAGAUACCCUGGUAGUCCACGCAGUAAACGAUGAAUGCUACCUGUCCGGUUCUUCGGAACUGGGUGGGACAGCGAAAGCGUUAAGCAUUCCACCUGGGGAGUACGCCGGCAACGGUGAAACUCAAAGGAAUUGACGGGGGCCCGCACAAGCGGAGGAACAUGUGGUUUAAUUCGAUGAUACGCGAGGAACCUUACCCGGGCUCAAACGCAGACGGACGGAUCGAGAAAUCGGUUUUUCCUUCGGGACUGUCUGCGAGGUGCUGCAUGGUUGUCGUCAGCUCGUGCCGUGAGGUGUCGGCUUAAGUGCCAUAACGAGCGCAACCCCUAUCUACAGUUGCUAACAGGUGAUGCUGAGGACUCUGUGGAGACUGCCGGCGCAAGCUGUGAGGAAGGCGGGGAUGACGUCAAAUCAGCACGGCCCUUACGUCCGGGGCGACACACGUGUUACAAUGGCAGGUACAGCGGGAAGCCACUUGGCAACAAGGAGCGGAACCCGAAAACCUGUCUCAGUUCGGAUUGGAGUCUGCAACCCGACUCCAUGAAGCUGGAUUCGCUAGUAAUCGCGCAUCAGCCACGGCGCGGUGAAUACGUUCCCG
rnacentral:rRNA from 1 species